rnacentral:rRNA from 1 species
CCCUUAGAUGUUCUGGGCCGCACGCGUGCUACACUGAGUGGAUCAGCGGGUCAGGUUGCGCGAAAGCGUUUCCUAAUCUUUAAAUCCGCUCGUGAUGGGGAUUGACGGUUGCAAUUUUCUGUCAUGAACGAGGAAUACCUUGUAAGCGCGGGUCAUCAUCCCGCGCUGAAUACGUCCCUGCCCUUUGUACACACCGCCCGUCACUCCUACCGAUUGAGUGGUCCGGUGAGGCUUUGGGAUCUGAGCGGAAAGAGCGUUUCGCUGUUUCUGCUCGGAAAACUCAGUCGAACCUUAUCAUUUAGAGGAAGGAGAAGUCGUAACA